UACGUAGGGUGCAAGCGUUUGUCCGGGAAUUAUUGGGCGUAAAGAGCUCGUAGGCGGUUUGUCGCGUCUGCUGUGAAAACUGGAGGCUCAACCUCCAGCCUGCAGUGGGUACGGGCAGACUAGAGUGCGGUAGGGGAGAUUGGAAUUCCUGGUGUAGCGGUGGAAUGCGCAGAUAUCAGGAGGAACACCAAUGGCGAAGGCAGCUCGCUGGGACGGUACUGACGCUGAGGCGCGAAAGCGUGGGGAGCAAACAGG
rnacentral:rRNA from 1 species